UACGGGGGGGGCAAGCGUUGUUCGGAAUUAUUGGGCGUAAAGGGUUCGUAGGCGGUCGACUCAGUCAGACGUGAAAUCCCUCGGCUUAACCGGGGAACUGCGUCUGAUACUGGUUGGCUUGAGUGCAGGAGAGGAAUGCGGAAUUCCAGGUGUAGCGGUGAAAUGCGUAGAUAUCUGGAGGAACACCGGUGGCGAAGGCGGCAUCCUGGACCAACACUGACGCUGAGGAGCGAAAGCCAGGGGAGCAAACGGG
rnacentral:rRNA from 1 species